rnacentral:sRNA from 1 species
AUGGGGGACACAUCAAACUCAACGGUAGGGAGCUGUGUUAUAGAUCCUUCACCAAAACAGCAGGGGAGGCACUCUGCCAAUCAAAAGGGCUGCAGUAUGGGUCGCAUAACAGUUGUAAGACUUAUAAAUGGAGAGUCUGAGACGGAAGGUAGAGUAGAGCUGUUGUAUGACGGGAAAUGGGGUACGGUCUGUGACGACAUGUUUGAUAAAGCAGAUGGUGAUGUCAUCUGCAGAAUGAUUGGUUACAAAGAGGCAAGUCAAGUGUUUAAAUAUGCCCACUUUUCAAACGGAUACGGACCAAUCUGGCAAGACAAUUUACAAUGUCUGGGGAAUGAGACAGAGAUCGGAGACUGUCCCUCAAAUGGAUGGGGAAACACUGACUGUGGUCACGGGGAGGACGCUGGGGUUUCUUGUGUACCUUAUGAGUUUGGUAACAUUCCUUUGAAUCAGAAGACGACGGUAGGAAACCCUUGCACUUUGACCUCGACACCGUGCAAGAAUGGCGGUAUCGCAAGAACAACAACGAAAAGCGCUUGUCCAAUCAACUAUUGUCAAAACGGGGGCACGUGCUUUCAAACUAGUUCCCAAAAAGGAUACACCUGUGUGUGUCCUAAUAGCUAUACUGGACACACUUGUGAAACAGAUACAUCUUCCUCGUCAUCAGUCUUUGUCAGCUGUCUUGAUGACGCAUGGAACAUCACAGUGGAUCUUCAACCUUUGCGUCAAAAAUACCCAGAUUUUGAUCCAGAUGAAUGUUAUAUAGGUUUUGACAACGCUAACUGUACCGGAAGUAUCAAUGGUGAUAGUCUCUAUUUCGGACAAAAUUACAAGGAGUGCAAAACAAGUGAAAAGAAUCUGACGGAAGGUAUUGAAUACAGCAAUAAACUUCUCUGCGCCCGUCAUGAUCGUCUGUACAACUUCAUAAUUCGUGAAGUUCGACUUCAGGUGAAACUGCUUUGCAAAUUUUUCUCUCUUGAUGUGGUUUCUUCAACACCUACGAAUCGACAUGUUCAUCUUCAAUACUUUUCUGACCCCGCGCUAACAAGGGCCAAGGAUUUCAAUAGAUGCCGAGCUGGAGAGAAGCUAUAUGUUCGGGCAUUGAGUGACGUCACGGACAGUAACAUAAAAAUGAGAUUAUCACACUGCUAUAUUACACCAGCGGUUAUCACUGACCUUGGGAUGCAGUAUUAUAUCAUCAAAGAUGGGUGUGUAAUUGAUCCUAAUGCAGUAGUAUUCUAUCUGUUAAAUCACGAAACAAGGUUCUCCUUCCAGUAUGUUGAGUUCUCUAGCAGUCAUGGUGCUGUGCAUUUAUACUGUAACGCUACUUUCUGUCAGAAAAAUGAUCAUUCUCCCGCCUGUCAACACACGUGUUCCAGUCACGUGGCCAGAAGUUUAAGGGAAAAUUACGUUAUCAAUAUCCAAAAUGAUACCGACAAUGAUGAAGAAAAACGUCGUUAGUUGAAUAUGGU